rnacentral:rRNA from 1 species
CCUACGGGAGGCAGCAGUGGGGAAUAUUGCACAAUGGGGGAAACCCUGAUGCAGCGACGCCGCGUGAGUGAAGAAGUAAUUCGUUAUGUAAAGCUCUAUCAGCAGGGAAGAAAAUGACGGUACCUGAGUAAGAAGCCCCGGCUAACUACGUGCCAGCAGCCGCGGUAAUACGUAGGGGGCAAGCGUUAUCCGGAUUUACUGGGUGUAAAGGGAGCGUAGACGGCAGUGCAAGUCUGGAGUGAAAGGCGGGGGCUCAACAGCGGAACGGCUUUGGAAACUGUGUAACUGGAGUGCUGGAGAGUUAAGCGGAAUUCCUGGUGUAGCGGUGAAAUGCGUAGAGAUCAGGAGGAACACCGGCGGCGAAGGCGGCUUACUGGACAGUAACUGACGUUGAGGCUCGAAAGCGUGGGGAGCAAACAGGAUUAGAUACCCGAGUAGUC